rnacentral:rRNA from 1 species
UAGGGAAUAUUGCGCAAUGGGGGGAACCCUGACGCAGCAACGCCACGUGUGGGAAGAAGCAUUUCGGUGUGUAAACCACUGUCGGAAAGGAAUAACGGAAGACUUCGGUCUUUAUGAAUGUACUUUUAGAGGAAGCACCGGCAAACUUCGUGCCAGCAGCCGCGGUAAUACGAGGGGUGCAAGCGUUGUUCGGAAUCACUGGGCGUAAAGGGAGCGUAGGCGGAAGUGCAAGCAAUCUGUAUAAUCCUGGGGCCCAACCCCAGUUCUGCAGAUUGGACUGUAUUUCUUGAAUAGUUCAGAGGCAAGCGGAAUUUCUGGUGUAGCGGUGGAAUGCGUAGAGAUCAGAAAGAACACCAAUGGCGAAGGCAGCUUGCUGGGGACUUAUUGACGCUGAGGCUCG